rnacentral:rRNA from 1 species
UACGGAGGAUCCAAGCGUUAUCCGGAUUUACUGGGCGUAAAGAGUUGCUUAGGUGGUCUGUUAAGUGAAUAGUGAAAUCUUGUGGCCCAACCAUAAGGCUAUUAUUCAAACUGGCAGACUCGAGAAUGAGAGAGGUCACUGGAAUUCCCUGUGUAGGAGUAAAAUGCAUAGAUAUAGGGAGGAACACCAAUGGCGUAGGCAGGUGACUGGCUCAUUUCUGACACUGAGGCACGAAAGCGUGGGGAGCGAACGGG